GGCCGACUAGCUCAGUUGGUUAGAGCGUCGUGCUAAUAACGCGAAGGUCUUGGGUUCGAUCCCCACGUUGGCCA
rfam:Cylindrobasidium torrendii FP15055 ss-10 unplaced genomic scaffold CYLTOscaffold_95, whole genome shotgun sequence.